rnacentral:rRNA from 1 species
AUGAACGCUGGCGGCGUGCCUAAUACCUGCAAGUCGAGCGAACAGACGAGGAGCUUGCUCCUCUGACGUUAGCGGCGGACGGGUGAGUAACACGUGGAUAACCUACCUAUAAGACUGGGAUAACUUCGGGAAACCGGAGCUAAUACCGGAUAAUAUAUUGAACCGCAUGGUUCAAUAGUGAAAGACGGUUUUGCUGUCACUUAUAGAUGGAUCCGCGCCGCAUUAGCUAGUUGGUAAGGUAACGGCUUACCAAGGCAACGAUGCGUAGCCGACCUGAGAGGGGGACGGGCCAAAGGGAAACGGAGACAGGGUCCAGACACCGAGGGGGGGCGAAAGGGGGGAAUUUUCCACAGAGGGGAAAGGCUGGAGGGAGCACCGCCGGGGGGUUGAUGAAGUUUUGGGUAUGUAAAAACUGUUUUAUUGGGAAAAAAAAAAGGUUUAAUAAAAUAUGCACUUCUGGAGGUUCCAUAACAAGAAACCCAGGGCAAACUCGGUC